GUGGGGAAUCUUGGACAAUGGGCGCAAGCCUGAUCCAGCCAUGCCGCGUGGAUGAUGAAGGCCCUAGGGUUGUAAAAUCCUUUCGUUGGGGACGAUAAUGACGGUACCCAAAGAAGAAGCUCCGGCUAACUUCGUGCCAGCAGCCGCGGUAAUACGAAGGGGGCUAGCGUUGUUCGGAUUUACUGGGCGUAAAGCGCGUGUAGGCGGGCUGGUAAGUUGGGGGUGAAAUCCCGAGGCUCAACCUCGGAACUGCCUCCAAAACUGUCAGCCUGGAGCAAAGUAGAGGCGAGUGGAAUUGCGAGUGUAGAGGUGAAAUUCGUAGAUAUUCGCAGGAACACCAGUGGCGAAGGCGACUCGCUGGACUUUUGCUGACGCUGAGACGCGAAAGCGUGGGGAGCAAACAGGAUUAGAUACCCCAGUAGUCC
rnacentral:rRNA from 1 species